rnacentral:lncRNA from 1 species
GGAGACGUGCCCCCAACCCCACCGCCAUUCACCCUGUCAUUGCAGGGGAGAGAACAGAAUAAAGACGGGUACAUUUUCCAUCUCACCUCUGAACCUCGGUUAGGAAAACGCUGUAGCCCUGACUAGUGGGCUCAAGGGCCGACUGGAAAAGGGCGAGUCAGCGUUCAAAGCCGAUUCGGGGCAGCCCUCUCUAACGCAGAGGGCCGAGGAUAAGAAGACGACAAUGUGUUAGGGGCCCUCCGGGCUAGGACUGUCCUCACCACUUUGUACAUUGCCAAAAUUAAAGAACAAGGAGAUGGCUGGCUAUUUAAGAAGGAAAGGCAGAGGCUGCAGAAAUUGAGCCUAACGGCUUAUCAGAUGGGAUGGAUAAUUCUUUAAGUUUAAAAGAACUACUCAUUUUCCCCAACAUCUGUCUUUGCCAUCUUCCUAUCUAAGGAACCUUUCACUUUUUAGCUGGGGACAUAGCUUUCUGGUAUGAGAACUACACUGCUCAAACUUCCAAUCAGCUUGUAUGCACUUGGUGAAUCUUACCUACCACAAACAGAAGUCUGGAAAGUGAAAAUUUAUUUCCUUUUCACCAUGACCAGCCUUGUUCAGAACAUCUGAGAGGCACAGACCUGAGAAAGAAUCCCCAGGCUGAAGAGGUAGAAGUUGGCAGAAGUUAAAAGCAAUGUCUCCACAAUGGAGAAGUGACAUGCUAAAGGAACCUGGCAUCUAGACAUUUCCUAACCCCCAAUCCCUCCUUACAUAUGACCUGCUCUUAGAGGAGUACAGCGUGGUGGUUAGGAGUGUGGACUCGGCAGCCAGAAAUCCUGGGAUCUGUUGCUUGUUAGCUGUGGGCCUUAAGCUAAGAACUUAACCUCUCUGUGCCUCAGUUGCUCCAUCUGUUCAAAUGAAGAUAAUGAUAAUGAAGAUGAUAUCACCUGCUGUGUAGGAUUGUUAUGAAAAAUCAAGAAUUAAUAUUUGUAAAUCACUUACAGGGUCUGGCACAUAAUAAGUGCUGUGUGGGUGUUUGUUAAAUAAAAUAAUAUACAAUGACAUAGGC